rfam:Caenorhabditis brenneri strain PB2801 C_brenneri-6.0.1_Cont23.20, whole genome shotgun sequence.
CACUUCGGUCCGGAGUUGAUGGGUUAUCCAGUCUGCCUUCUUCUGCUUGCAGAGGAAGGUCUGGUGUACUCGCGAUGCCAGAACCCGUUCUUCAGAUGUGAGUCUGUUGAACACCCCGCAACCCUCAAAAAGUUGCAAACCCUUCCCAUCAACACCAACUUGACCGUUGU